rnacentral:piRNA from 1 species
UAUUAAUCUAGCCCAAUCCAUGAGUGU